UCUUCUCUCUCAUCUGAACCCUUCUCUGUCUCCACAUUCCUCAUUCUUCCUUUUUUUUCAAACUUCUCUCCUCCUCUUCUUUCUUCAUGUUCUUCUUCUGCUAUUUUGAUUCUUUCUGCAAACAUAGUUUACGAAAAUACUUUAUAACGUGCGGUGUGUGGUUUAACGGCGGUAGUAGAUCUGUGGUGAAGGCAACGCAUUUCUGGUGGCGAUGGUGAUGGUGGACGGACCAUAUGAGUUCAAGCGAUAAACCUAUUUGCGGAACUUUGUUUCGAUUUCAAGAAAAAAAAUGGAGUUUUGCUUUUGGAUUGUUGAUUGGAUUUCAAGCAAAGAAGAUGGAGAUUUGUUUGUGGGUUGUGGUUUGUUUCAAGCGAAGAGUUUAUGGCGGCGGAUCUGAAGAUUUUGGCGAUUUCACAGCGGGGUGCGAUUUUGCGAUGGAUUUCAAUGUGAGAAAAAUGAAGCAGCAGCUUGGAAGUAGCUCCAAAGCGCGUGUUGGCCAGCCACGGUUGCCGGGAAAACUGUUGCUGUUAGAAUAGAGUCAAGGUGAGAAAUUCAUCAAGUAAUUGGUUACAAAGGUGCUCUUUAUGCAAGUAUACACUUUAUGAAGGGAUUAAUAGACAUCUGGACUCCAUUUUCAAGGACAUGGUUGUUACAGUUAGGUUGUGAAAAUUAUGGAUCUCCAUUGCCAUGGCCGAGAAGUGGAUGCCUUCAAAGAUAUUCAUGUAGUUUGCAUUUGCUGUGGUGCGGUAGCGGCGUUUUGCGUCAUCCAUGCUUCGAAUAAUUUUAACAUUUGUAUUAUGGGGAAUGAAUUCUGAUCGAUACGGUCGAUAACCUAUUUAUGAUCCAGUUAGCUGAGAAGUAGCCUUUUUUAUUUCCAAAGGGUUCAUUGUGGGAUAAGAAAGUUAAAAUUUACUGCAUUUUAACUUAAUUUCGUGUAAUAUUAUUCUUUUAACUAUCAUUCUCAUGUUUUCUUCUUGCAGUCAGCUGAGAAACAUCCACUUUUAUUUCCAAAGGAUUCACUGAUUAUCACAUUGAACUUGCUCUUUCCACUUUCAAGGAUUCUACUACAUUUGAGUCAGCUCUUGAUUGGUUAUUGCUCAAUUUGCCCGAAAAUGAACUUCCACUCAAGUUUUCCACUGGGACUUCAAAUCAUUAUAAUCAAGGGGUUCUAUUGGUGUUAUAAUAAACCAACAUGACACUUCAACUUCCUGCUCACUGCUAUAGGUUGGAAUGCAGUAGCAAUGAGUUUUGCUUCUCCAAUUGGCGUUUAUUGGUGAAAGUGCUACAUGAUUUAUUAUGUCAAAUCAAAGUAUGUUUUAUUAGUAAUCACAUUCUAUUAGUAAUAUGUAUUUCUAAAAAGUCAAUGAUAAUAUUGGCAAUGCCCUCCUUAUCCUUAACCCAUAAUUGUUUCUUGUCUCUUACAUGAGUUAUGAUGCCGUUACUCAACACACAGGAUAUUUGGUAAGGAACUCAACUUCUAGCUAUUGACGUCGUCGCCGCCGCCAUGGUUUUAGUUAGAAGAACCAUGUUAGGAGAUGAAUUUACUGAGAAAGAGAAUAAAGCACUCAAGAAAACCUUGUGACUGACAUGGCUUCGGUUAUUCCGAUUGGAUUUCUAAUGCUUCUUCCGGUGAGUCCUGGGAUUCAGCGAGGGGACCAAAUGACGCUUCGAGAUGCAUUGAUUUGACAAUAAAAAAUUCAGAAGGAGAUUGAGCCUAGCAAUUGCGUUUUGAAUUUGAGUUUUAUUUCACCAUGAGGUAAUAAAUAAUUUGUGGUCUCACAUUUCUAAAGUGAAGAAGCCCAUGUGCAUAGUAGAUAGAUACUCAUUUCUUCCUUACUUUACUAUUAUUCCCUCUAUCUCACUUAAUAAAAACACAUUCAGAUUCUUGAUUUCUGAUCAUUGUUUAAGAUAUUGCAAACUAAAUCAACAGCCUGAUUAAUCACUAGACAUUGAUUUGUAAAUGAUACAAAGGCUGAUGAGGAUAAGUUUUUCUUGCAUCUUACAAUUAACUUAACAAACAAUGCACACUAAAUUCAAUUAUAAGAACUGGAGA